UCUCCAAGAAACUGACUCCACUCUCUCAGAACCUCUUCUAAACUUCUGAUCCUUCUUCUUUAGGACCCUCACAAUCCUUGUUAGGAUCAGACAAGACUUUGUCUUAAAUUCUAAAGCUUUGUCCUAAAAUUAAGAUAGGUUGUAAGAAAGAAAGGAGAGCAACGGAGACAAAAUUAGAAAUAUUUUCUGAAUUCAUCGGAC
rnacentral:lncRNA from 1 species